rnacentral:rRNA from 1 species
AGCUUGCUUCUUUGCUGACGAGUGGCGGACGGGUGAGUAAUGUCUGGGAAACUGCCUGAUGGAGGGGGAUAACUACUGGAAACGGUAGCUAAUACCGCAUAACGUCGCAAGACCAAAGAGGGGGACCUUCGGGCCUCUUGCCAUCGGAUGUGCCCAGAUGGGAUUAGCUAGUAGGUGGGGUAACGGCUCACCUAGGCGACGAUCCCUAGCUGGUCUGAGAGGAUGACCAGCCACACUGGAACUGAGACACGGUCCAGACUCCUACGGGAGGCAGCAGUGGGGAAUAUUGCACAAUGGGCGCAAGCCUGAUGCAGCCAUGCCGCGUGUAUGAAGAAGGCCUUCGGGUUGUAAAGUACUUUCAGCGGGGAGGAAGGGAGUAAAGUUAAUACCUUUGCUCAUUGACGUUACCCGCAGAAGAAGCACCGGCUAACUCCGUGCCAGCAGCCGCGGUAAUACGGAGGGUGCAAGCGUUAAUCGGAAUUACUGGGCGUAAAGCGCACGCAGGCGGUUUGUUAAGUCAGAUGUGAAAUCCCCGGGCUCAACCUGGGAACUGCAUCUGAUACUGGCAAGCUUGAGUCUCGUAGAGGGGGGUAGAAUUCCAGGUGUAGCGGUGAAAUGCGUAGAGAUCUGGAGGAAUACCCGGUGGCGAAGGCGGCCCCCUGACGAAGACUACGUCAGUCAAAGCG